UACGUAGGGCGCAAGCGUUGUCCGGAAUUAUUGGGCGUAAAGAGCUCGUAGGUGGCUUGUCACGUCGGGUGUGAAAACUUUGGGCUUAACCCAAAGCGUGCAUCCGAUACUGCUGUGACUUGAGUACGGUAGGGGAGCGGGGAAUUCCUAGUGUAGCGGUGAAAUGCGCAGAUAUUAAGGAGGAACACCGGUGGCGAAGGCGCCGCUCUGGGCCGAAACUGACGCUGAGGAGCGAAAGCAUGGGUAGCAAACAGG
rnacentral:rRNA from 1 species